rnacentral:rRNA from 1 species
UGGGGAAUAUUGCACAAUGGGCGCAAGCCUGAUGCAGCCAUGCCGCGUGUGUGAAGAAGGCCUUCGGGUUGUAAAGCACUUUCAGCGGGGAGGAAGGAGAUAAGGUUAAUAACCUUGUCGAUUGACGUUACCCGCAGAAGAAGCACCGGCUAACUCCGUGCCAGCAGCCGCGGUAAUACGGAGGGUGCAAGCGUUAAUCGGAAUUACUGGGCGUAAAGCGCACGCAGGCGGUCUGUCAAGUCGGAUGUGAAAUCCCCGGGCUCAACCUGGGAACUGCAUUCGAAACUGGCAGGCUAGAGUCUUGUAGAGGGGGGUAGAAUUCCAGGUGUAGCGGUGAAAUGCGUCGAGAUCUGGAGGAAUACCGGUGGCGAAGGCGGCCCCCUGGACGAAGACUGACGCUAAGGUGCAAAAGCGUGGGGAGCAAACAGG